rnacentral:rRNA from 1 species
UACGUAGGUGGCAAGCGUUGUCCGGAUUUACUGGGCGUAAAGAGCGCGCAGGCGGUCGGAUAAGUCGAAUGUGAAAGCCCCCGGCUCAACUGGGGAGGGUCAUUCGAUACUGUUCGACUCGAAGGCAGGAGAGGGAAGUGGAAUUCCCGGUGUAGUGGUGAAAUGCGUAGAGAUCGGCAGGAACACCCAGGGGGAAACCAGUCGACUGGGCAUCUACUGACGCUGAGGUGCGAGAGCGUGGGGAGCGAACCGG